CAGUAGCCGCGGGAAUACGGAGGGUGCAAGCGUUAAUCGGAAUUACUGGGCGUAAAGCGUGCGUAGGCGGUUCGUUAAGUCUGUUGUGAAAGCCCCGGGCUCAACCUGGGAAUGGCAAUGGAUACUGGCGAGCUAGAGUGUGUCAGAGGAUGGUGGAAUUCCCGGUGUAGCGGUGAAAUGCGUAGAGAUCGGGAGGAACAUCAGUGGCGAAGGCGGCCAUCUGGGACAACACUGACGCUGAGGCACGAAAGCGUGGGGAGCAAACAGGAUUAGAUACCCCAGUAGUCCCUGUCUCUUAUAC
rnacentral:rRNA from 1 species